CUCGAAAAUACCGCUCCUGACGGUUCUUUCUUUUGCCUCUUUCACUUUUGCAAUCUGCUCCUCCUCGCUAGCUGUCGCCGCCGCUCUCCCAGCCGUUAAACCGGCACCUCUCCCGCACCAUUCGGCCAGCUACGACGCCUCGCCGGCGGGACGGUCGGUGGCGCUCCUUACCGGCUCGCCGUGCUUCUCAUCGGCCUGAUGCGCUCCCAUCAGAGCAUGCUCAAUAUGAUGCCGGCAUGAUCCGCCGCCGCCCUGUCCUCGCGCGUAGGCGUCGGCCUGGAUGCCUCCGCUGUCCCACUCGCCGAUCUCGUUUCGCCCGCCUCUGCAGCCGUUGCCCCCCACAGCUAAGCCCGCCUUCAGGAGCAAGGUGAUUGCCUAUGUAUCAGUAACUAGAAGGCGGCCACCAGCACUGACCAAAUCAUAUUCGUGAUGCUGUAUAUAUUUAACUUUGUUGAUGUUAGCUCAUCUUAAGUAAUGUUCCCUUACAACAGGCUAUCAUGUAUGACCCUGCUUUGGUUGUCGAUAGAGAAGGUGACCAUCCUGCGAGAAGGUAGUUUUGCACUUCGAAAGAAGUAUGUUUCUUUUCAGGAACGGGAGAAAUUUAUUUGGAUCCAAAUCCAAGUGAUUCUUUAUGGUAGUUUACGUCAUUGCUCCAAUGCGAGAAAAAGUAGUCCGCUCUCGAGAUACAAAGGUAACAGUGCAAAAAUGUGUCCCCCCUUUACCUGAACAGAUACUGCUGGAAGCAUUUAACUAUUGUAAGUGAUUUUUUCACUAUCCAAUAUCUUUAUUUUUGUCGAUUGCUAAAAUUCUUCAUGUCUCCAUAUGUAUAUAUUACUCGGUUGGCAAAUCUGAUGUGUUCAAAUUGCAUUAAUGAACAGUCUUGAAUUUAAUUUUUUAGACUACCAUCUUAUAUUUUAAAAUAGAUGGCUUUAAUAAAAUAGGAUGAUGCCCAAUCACAAUGGUUAGUACUUUCGUCCGAUGUUUAUUUGCCGCGUGGAGGACAUAGAUGUGACACUUUAUGCAUAUGCACCCAUAAACAUGUAAAUUAUUCGCAUAUAUUCCACUUGUUUUUGGCCAGAAAAAAUGUGAUAGAUUGGAGAUAGAUGUCAUGUCAUCAAUGUAGUGUGAUCAAAUACUUCUUUCUGUGUUCUUACUUCAUCAGGAUCUGAACUAUGUUUUGUAUAUCCGCAUUUCACAUAAUUUUGUCUAAUCGGUGUUCUACUAUGCUUUUGGGUAUUCCUUAUUAUGAAAUUGGAAGAUAUGUUGGUUUGGAUUAUGCCCUAUAUGCAGUGAAAAUCUGUUUAUGAUGUUCCUUGUGGUUAAUGUUCCAUUCAAGUGGUGUUGAAUUAAUUGUAUUCUUCCUAAUUUCCUGUCUAUAAUUGUUGUUGUGGUUAGAUACCGAAUGCCAAGGGAGGUGGUUUAGCAUGAAGCACUGAGAUAGAACUUUCUUCUAUGAAGAAGCAUCAUGCCGAUACACAAGUAUCAUUGAGAAACCUUAUCUAGAAUGGGGGAACAAAGAAUGGGAGAAGAGAAAAUAUGUACUGUGUUUCUCAAAAAAAAAAAGAUAAUGUGUUGCCUAAAAAAUUAAUUAUAAUUGCGUGCUAAAAAUGUCAGAAGAUUUUGUUUGUAUAUAA